GGGUUGUGAGGUUAAGCGACUAAGCGUACACGGUGGAUGCCCUGGCAGUCAGAGGCGAUGAAGGGCGUGCUAAUCUGCGAUAAGCGCCGGUAAGGUGAUAUGAACCGUUAUAACCGGCGAUACCCGAAUGGGGAAACCCAGUGUGAUUCGUCACACUAUCAUUAACUGAAUCCAUAGGUUAAUGAGGCGAACCGGGGGAACUGAAACAUCUAAGUACCCCGAGGAAAAGAAAUCAACCGAGAUUCCCCCAGUAGCGGCGAGCGAACGGGGAGGAGCCCAGAGCCUGAAUCAGCAUGUGUGUUAGUGGAAGCGUCUGGAAAGGCGCGCGAUACAGGGUGACAGCCCCGUACACAAAAGCGCAUGUGCUGUGAGCUCGAUGAGUAGGGCGGGACACGUGGUAUCCUGUCUGAAUAUGGGGGGACCAUCCUCCAAGGCUAAAUACUCCUGACUGACCGAUAGUGAACCAGUACCGUGAGGGAAAGGCGAAAAGAACCCCGGCGAGGGGAGUGAAAAAGAACCUGAAACCGUGUACGUACAAGCAGUGGGAGCACCCUUCGGGGUGUGACUGCGUACCUUUUGUAUAAUGGGUCAGCGACUUAUAUUCUGUAGCAAGGUUAACCGUAUAGGGGAGCCGGAGGGAAACCGAGUCUUAAUUGGGCGUUAAGUUGCAGGGUAUAGACCCGAAACCCGGUGAUCUAGCCAUGGGCAGGUUGAAGGUUGGGUAACACUAACUGGAGGACCGAACCGACUAAUGUUGAAAAAUUAGCGGAUGACCUGUGGCUGGGGGUGAAAGGCCAAUCAAACCGGGAGAUAGCUGGUUCUCCCCGAAAGCUAUUUAGGUAGCGCCUCGUGAAUUCAUCUCCGGGGGUAGAGCACUGUUUCGGCUAGGGGGCCAUCCCGGCUUACCAACCCGAUGCAAACUGCGAAUACCGGAGAAUGUUAUCACGGGAGACACACGGCGGGUGCUAACGUCCGUCGUGAAGAGGGAAACAACCCAGACCGCCAGCUAAGGUCCCAAAGUCAUGGUUAAGUGGGAAACGAUGUGGGAAGGCCCAGACAGCCAGGAUGUUGGCUUAGAAGCAGCCAUCAUUUAAAGAAAGCGUAAUAGCUCACUGGUCGAGUCGGCCUGCGCGGAAGAUGUAACGGGGCUAAACCAUGCACCGAAGCUGCGGCAGCGAACGUAUCACCCAAGACAACUUUACGGAGUUGACGAUUGACGGAGCGAAGCGACGUCAAAGCGUUCAUUAAAGUCGAGUUGGCUUAGGGAUACGUUCGUUGGGUAGGGGAGCGUUCUGUAAGCCUGUGAAGGUGUGUCGUGAGGCAUGCUGGAGGUAUCAGAAGUGCGAAUGCUGACAUAAGUAACGAUAAAGCGGGUGAAAAGCCCGCUCGCCGGAAGACCAAGGGUUCCUGUCCAACGUUAAUCGGGGCAGGGUGAGUCGACCCCUAAGGCGAGGCCGAAAGGCGUAGUCGAUGGGAAACGGGUUAAUAUUCCCGUACUUGGUGUUACUGCGAAGGGGGGACGGAGAAGGCUAUGUUGGCCGGGCGACGGUUGUCCCGGUUUAAGCGUGUAGGUGUGUGUUCCAGGUAAAUCCGGUUCACUUUAACACUGAGGCGUGACGACGAGGCACUACGGUGCUGAAGCAACAAAUGCCCUGCUUCCAGGAAAAGCCUCUAAGCAUCAGGUAACAUCAAAUCGUACCCCAAACCGACACAGGUGGUCAGGUAGAGAAUACCAAGGCGCUUGAGAGAACUCGGGUGAAGGAACUAGGCAAAAUGGUGCCGUAACUUCGGGAGAAGGCACGCUGACACGUAGGUGAAGUGAUUUACUCAUGGAGCUGAAGUCAGUCGAAGAUACCAGCUGGCUGCAACUGUUUAUUAAAAACACAGCACUGUGCAAACACGAAAGUGGACGUAUACGGUGUGACGCCUGCCCGGUGCCGGAAGGUUAAUUGAUGGGGUCAGCGUAAGCGAAGCUCCUGAUCGAAGCCCCGGUAAACGGCGGCCGUAACUAUAACGGUCCUAAGGUAGCGAAAUUCCUUGUCGGGUAAGUUCCGACCUGCACGAAUGGCGUAAUGAUGGCCAGGCUGUCUCCACCCGAGACUCAGUGAAAUUGAACUCGCUGUGAAGAUGCAGUGUACCCGCGGCAAGACGGAAAGACCCCGUGAACCUUUACUAUAGCUUGACACUGAACAUUGAGCCUUGAUGUGUAGGAUAGGUGGGAGGCUUUGAAGUGUGGACGCCAGUCUGCAUGGAGCCGACCUUGAAAUACCACCCUUUAAUGUUUGAUGUUCUAACGUGGACCCGUAAUCCGGGUUGCGGACAGUGUCUGGUGGGUAGUUUGACUGGGGCGGUCUCCUCCUAAAGAGUAACGGAGGAGCACGAAGGUUGGCUAAUCCUGGUCGGACAUCAGGAGGUUAGUGCAAUGGCAUAAGCCAGCUUGACUGCGAGCGUGACGGCGCGAGCAGGUGCGAAAGCAGGUCAUAGUGAUCCGGUGGUUCUGAAUGGAAGGGCCAUCGCUCAACGGAUAAAAGGUACUCCGGGGAUAACAGGCUGAUACCGCCCAAGAGUUCAUAUCGACGGCGGUGUUUGGCACCUCGAUGUCGGCUCAUCACAUCCUGGGGCUGAAGUAGGUCCCAAGGGUAUGGCUGUUCGCCAUUUAAAGUGGUACGCGAGCUGGGUUUAGAACGUCGUGAGACAGUUCGGUCCCUAUCUGCCGUGGGCGCUGGAGAACUGAGGGGGGCUGCUCCUAGUACGAGAGGACCGGAGUGGACGCAUCACUGGUGUUCGGGUUGUCAUGCCAAUGGCACUGCCCGGUAGCUAAAUGCGGAAGAGAUAAGUGCUGAAAGCAUCUAAGCACGAAACUUGCCCCGAGAUGAGUUCUCCCUGAGACUUAGAGUCUCCUGAAGGAACGUUGAAGACGACGACGUUGAUAGGCCGGGUGUGUAAGCGCAGCGAUGCGUUGAGCUAACCGGUACUAAUGAACCGUGAGGCUUAACCUUACAACGCCGAAG
rnacentral:rRNA from 1 species